UACAGAGGGUGCGAGCGUUAAUCGGAAUUACUGGGCGUAAAGCGUGCGUAGACGGUUUCGUAAGUCGGGUGUGAAAUCCCCGGGCUCAACCUGGGAAUUGCAUUCGAAACUGCGAGGCUAGGGUACGGAAGAGGGAAGCGGAAUUUCUGGUGUAGCGGUGAAAUGCGUAGAUAUCAGGAGGAACACCAGCGGUGUAGACGGCUUUCUGGACCAUUGCUGACGCUGAGACACGAAAGCGUGGGUAGCAAACAGG
rnacentral:rRNA from 1 species